GAUGAACGCUGGCGGCGUGCCUAAUACAUGCAAGUCGAGCGAACGGACGAGAAGCUUGCUUCUCUGAUGUUAGCGGCGGACGGGUGAGUAACACGUGGAUAACCUACCUAUAAGACUGGGAUAACUUCGGGAAACCGGAGCUAAUACCGGAUAAUAUUUUGAACCGCAUGGUUCAAAAGUGAAAGACGGUCUUGCUGUCACUUAUAGAUGGAUCCGCGCUGCAUUAGCUAGUUGGUAAGGUAACGGCUUACCAAGGCAACGAUGCAUAGCCGACCUGAGAGGGGGACCGGCCACCAUGGACCUGGGCCACGGCCCAAACCCCUAGGGGAGGCAGCAGUAGGGAAUCUUCCGCAAGGGGCGAAAGCCUGAGGGAGCAACGCCGGGGGGGUGAUGAAGGGCUUCGGAUCGUAAAACUCUGUUUUUAGGGAAGAACAUAUGUGUAAGUAACUGGGCAAAUUUUGGCGGUCCCAAACAAAAAAGCCCCGGCUAACCCCGU
rnacentral:rRNA from 1 species